rnacentral:miRNA from 1 species
UUUUGGGCAGGUGGGUCGCUGUUGCUUACCAGGAAUGAGAGGGCAAGGUGGUGAGGAGGCUGGCAUGGUGCAAAUGCACCAGAAGGAGCAUGAGAUUGGCUCUGCCAGUGUGUUUGCACUGUGCCAACCUCCCCACAGCCUUGCCCCUCCCCUUCUUGGUAAGCUGUAGUGACCCACCUUCUGGGA